AUACGGAGGACGCGAGCGUUAUCCGGAUUCAUUGGGUUUAAAGGGUGCGCAGGCGGCCGUGCAAGUCAGCGGUGAAAGCCCGGGGCUCAACCCCGGAAGUGCCGUUGAUACUGCAUGGCUGGAAUGCGGUCGAGGCGGGCGGAACGUGGCGUGUAGCGGUGAAAUGCGUAGAUAUGCCACAGAACGCCGAUAGCGGAGGCAGCUCGCCAGGCCUGCAUUGACGCUCGGGCACGAAAGCGUGGGGAUCGAACAGGAUUAGAUACCCUGGUAGUCCACGCCGUAAACGAUGGGCGCUCGUCGUCGGCGGCAGACAGUCGGCGGCCAAGCGAAAGCGAUAAGCGCCCCACCUGGGGAGUACGGUCGCAAGGCUGAAACUCAAAGGAAUUGGCGGGG
rnacentral:rRNA from 1 species